UUUUUUUUUGUAAGGUAUUUUAAUAUAAGUUUUGAUCAAUUGCAGUUUUUCUUAAAUAUGUUAAUUUGCGUUAAGAAAAACCAUUUGCUUCCUCUACCAUAAAUUGUGUCUUCUAACGGAUAACCUUUAAUUAUUUUACCUCUUUGUUUUUGAUUUGCACUAGAAAUGGCCACUCGCUCCCUCUCACCAAAUGUGAAUUCUCUCUUCUGCAGAGUAACUUUUUCGUGCUCUGAUUUUUUUACUAUUGUGGCAAUACUAAUUUGCAUUAGGAAUAACCACUUGAAGGGGAGCCUUGGCGCAGUGGUAAAGCUGCUGCCUUGUGACCAUGAGGUCAUGGGUUCAAGUCCUGGAAACAGCCUCUUACAGAAAUGUAGGGAAAGGCUGCGUACUAUAGACCCAAAGUGGUCGGACCCUUCCCUGGACCCUGCGCAAGCGGGAGCUACAUGCACCAGGUUGCCUUUUUUUUAAUAACCACUUGCUUCCCCAUCCACCUGUAAAUCCUCUCUUCUAAAGAAUAACAGUUUCAUCCUCUAAUCACUCAAGAUCAACUGUAUCACACGCUAAGAGUUUAUUACAAUUCUAGCAUAGGACUACUGAAUAGAAGCUCAUUUUUUUUUUACUUUGAUGACCCAAUGGCCGAUCAGGUUUGCAGUUGUUGGCCGGACCUGAACCUGAACUUCCAUGAGUCACAGCGCUAGCAGUCCGGGGGCCUGGGCACAGGCUGCCACCCAGCGCAGAGCUGAAUGACCUCCUUGAGCGCCGGCGACGCCGCCUCCAUCGUCCACCUGUCGUAGUACUCCUCCGGCCUGAAGACGCACUCGGCGCCCGGGCCGUCGACCAGGCACGGCAGCGCACCGUGCAGGAACGCGUCGCCCUCCGACCUGAUCCACCCGGCCGCCGUCUCUUCUCUGUCGGCAGCCUGCAGCAGCAUUCAUCAGUAUCUGUAACCAGGAUGUAUGCAAAUGCUCAGCCUCAUAGCAUCAUCUUGUCUGAAGAUGCAGAGUACCUUCUCCGGCAUGUACUUGAAGACCGUCUUCUUGUGCCCACCUUCGUAUAUGUUACACUGGGACACAAUCUGCAAAUGGAGGCAUCAUUUCAUUAGAAAUUGAUCAUCUCCGAGUGAGUGUUGCCGGUUGCAAGCAUUUGGAACAGCAGAUGCCGGAUGAAAUGGGCCACCUGAGCUUCGACGCCGGCGCAGACGGCGUAUAUGCCCCAGUCCCUGGUGUAGUUGUUGUAUAGGUGGACCUUGCCGAAGCGCAGGCGCGGGUGCCUCUGCCGCGUGCCGUCGAAGAAGCAGUGGUGGAUGGUCACCCUGAUGCACCUGUCGUCGACGUGCGUCGGGUCCGCGCCGAUGAGCAUCGUCUUGUCAUGCCUUGCAAAGUGGCAUCUGUGCAAAACAAUUGACACACAGGCAUAUAGUUAUCAGCACAAUUGUCAAAUGAAAUGAGUCAAGAACUGAAGAUUGCGUGAUGUUGCACACAGAAAUUUAGUUGGAUUGCGUCAUGUUGUACACAGAAAUUUACUCUAGUUGGUGUGAGGAGGAGCAGUAGAAAAGAGGGAAGGACCUGGAGACGGUGAUGUCGGUGCUCUGGCGCGUGAUGUCGAUGAGGCCGUCGUCGUAGUCGGCGAGGGAGCAGCGGUCGAUCCAGAUGUUGGUGGAGCCGGGCUUGAUCUGGAUGCCGUCGACGUCGUGGCCCCGGCCGGCCUCGAACUGGAGGUUGCAGACGAUGACGUGGUGGCAGUCCUUGAGCUGGAGGCCCUUGCCGGUGAGCCUGACUCGCUGCCCCCGCCCGUCGAUGGUCUUGUGGGAGGAGACCCGGAGGUAGGUGUGGAGGUGGAUGUCGCCGGACACCUCGAAGACGAUCCACAGCGGCUCCUUGGCCCGGCACGCCUCCCGCAGCGUCCCGUGCCCGUCGUCUGCGCGCCGAUCGAUCAAUCGGUCAGUUCCUGACAGGGUUCCGGAGCAAGAUUGAAGGCGGGUAAAAAGGGGGACCUUGGAGGGAGGUGACGUGGUAGAGGGCGCCGUGGAGGCCCCCGAUGGCGCGGCGGCCGAAGCCCUCGGCGGCGGCGGCGAGCGCGCGGAGGGUGCGGUCCGCGUCGGCGUAGGGCGUCCGCGGCUGCGGGGGGCGGCGGGCCGCCGUCGUCACCGUCCCAGGCCCCGUCUCGGCGUCCAUGCCGGGGCAGGGGAGGUAGGCUGCGGCGGCGGCGGCGGGAGUCGGAGGAGGACGCGGGGGACGGGGGUCGGAGGAGGGGAAGGAGAUCCAGCAGCAGCAGAGGCGGGAGAAACAGGAGGCACGGGCGCCCAUGAAAUUCGGCCGUGUCGGUGGAAUUCCGCCAAAUGUGGUGAGGAAUCCACACACUCACUCGCUCAGCACUCAAACGUCUCGACCCAAAGUCUUCUUUUCCUCUCUUCUAAUAAAAGAAGAAAAGUCUUGUUUAUCCCUUAUGAAACACGGACGCAGGCACACCUUUAAAGCCCACACACACUCCACACCCUAUGGGCGUGUUUGGUUGCCUGCAUGAGACCCAACCAGGUCCGCGCGGAAAGAAAACGGGCUGUUUGAUUGGCUGCAUAUACUGUUGGGCCUGCAUGGUACGAUGUUUAAAGCAUUCCUAGGCCUGGCUCCCUGAGAACGCUCGAAUCGGCAGUUUCUUCACAGCCAGGCCCGAGCGGUGCACGUGGGCGGCGGCGGCUGCACGCGCAUGGCCACGCUCAAGAAGCUGCGUUGCUUCCCGAAGCGCCGGCAGUUAUUAGCCUCAUCGCCCCUCACCGCCCCCNNNNNNNNNNNNNNNNNNNNNNNNNNNNNNNNNNNNNNNNNNNNNNNNNNNNNNNNNNNNNNNNNNNNNNNNNNNNNNNNNNNNNNNNNNNNNNNNNNNNNNNNNNNNNNNNNNNNNNNNNNNNNNNNNNNNNNNNNNNNNNNNNNNNNNNNNNNNNNNNNNNNNNNNNNNNNNNNNNNNNNNNNNNNNNNNNNNNNNNNNNNNNNNNNNNNNNNNNNNNNNNNNNNNNNNNNNNNNNNNNNNNNNNNNNNNNNNNNNNNNNNNNNNNNNNNNNNNNNNNNNNNNNNNNNNNNNNNNNNNNNNNNNNNNNNNNNNNNNNNNNNNNNNNNNNNNNNNNNNNNNNNNNNNNNNNNNACCGGCGGCAGCGGAUCGGAGGAAAGCAAGAAGACAACCGGACUCCAUCACCGGCGAGCUGAUCAUCACCCGCCCCGCGGCAAAUGGCGGUAAGCACUUUUCUAUUUGUCAUGCACUACUUUUUCGCGUUCGAUCCGGUGGUAGAUUCGAUCCACGACGGAGAGGGGAAUGGGAAAUAGAGGUAGAUAAGCAUGGCAAUUCGUACUAGUUCAUGCAAGAUCGGAAUAGAGGUAGAUGCGGAUGGAGUAGAAGGGGGAUUGGGGGUACACAACAGACACUGGCUAACCACGGCGGCCGUUGAGGCGUGCGGAGCGGCAGGUCGAGUGGUUGGCCUUCAUCUUCUUGUCCAUCGCCGUGCGGGGCGGUGGGUCGUUGUUGUCCUCGCCAGAGUCGAGGUCAAUCUGCCAGGUACGACGGCCUGGCUCCGGCGCCCUCACUAGCACCUGCACCGGUUCUUCCUCCUCCUUAGGCUCCCCACUGAUGAACGUCGGUGGCACGUUUGCCGUCUCGCAGUACACUACGGCAUGGCGGUAAUUAGGAGCCAAGUACUUCUUGUACUUGGACCACCUCUUCCUCUGUUUAGCGGCGUCGGAGACGGCCUGAUUCAUGGCCCAGCGAAUGUUGUCGACUGCCAUCGCGCCAUUCGUUGGGUUAGGAAUCAGCGUCUUCAACUCUUGUGCAGUGGCCCUCAUGAGCACUGCAUCAGAUUCCUUCUGCAUGUCAGGCAUGGAGCCGAAGUUCGAGCACAUCUCCAUGGUGUUCUCGAACUUGAUGCGGUCACCAGCCGACCACCCGAGGAAGAAGGCCCUCCAGCCAAUACCCUAAGGGAAGGGGUUGGCGUUGGAGCUGGAGCUCAUGGCGAUGGAGAGGAGGAAGGUUGAUAUUGAGAGAAGAGAGGGGUGGGUAAGUGGUGGUGGUCAGGGUGAGUAAAUAUAGGCGCGAUGGAGAGGAGGGAGAGUGACAAUCAUGUCGUUUUAACUACACGCUCUUCAAUAAGCCAUGAACUUUGUGUUGUGCUUGACUCCAUGAAUUGUGUGCAAAUCAAGGAGAGCAAUGAGAUGGGCACGGAGGUGCUUCCGACUGUUGGCAAGAAGGGCAAGGAGGCGGUUCAUCCAAUGCCCGAGGUGGUGCUGCCACCCACCGCUGAGGAAGAACCGGAGACACCAACGGUUGGCGACGACGAGCGCAUGAAGGAGCCCCCCAGCAGCAAGCGCCGCAACUACAACCACCACCAUGAGUAGGGUGGCCCAACUCACUUCUGCAAGGUCAUCCUUGCACCGAAGCUUGAGUGCACCCCCUGGACUUCACCAAGCACUUUGUCGCGGUGCCGACGGAGUUCAAUCUGAGGAACAACAUUGGCUGCUCCUGGAGGGUGACGGUGAAGCUGAUGAACGGCAGUGUGACCCUGGAUCAUGGUUGGGCACCGCCGUUCAUCAGAUCAAGAUCGGCUACAUGGUGACGUUCAAACUCCUGACUCCCGACACCCUCAAGGUCAUCAUCUUCGACGACGAUGGCAUUGAGGUGGUCAACAAGUGCAGGAAGCACGACGAAGCCUUCGCCGUUAGGGACUAGGGUCAGGGCACCUCCUUCCUAAGUACUAUCGAGUCUGCUUUAUGGUUUAUGCGUUGAACUGUUUGAACUAUCGUUAUGAUGUGUGGUACUAUGUUAUCUAAACUAUGCUGUUAAGUAGUUGAUGGUCUGUUUAUGCUCUGCUCUGCUUAUGAUGUGUGUUACAUGGUUGUGCAGAAGUGUGCUGGUAACCUCACCAACUAGGCAAAGAGCUUACCACACACCAGACGUUGCAUACAACCAAACACCAUGCCUUGGAUUUGUCCACUAACAUGCAGGCAACCAAACACCAGGCAGUGUGGUUCAGCCCAUGCAGACAAGAGGGCAUGCAGGCAACCAAACAACUUGCAGAUGGUGCAUUUGAGGUUGCAUUUGCAUAGCCAGACUGAGUUGAGAAGGCUAUGCAAUGCAACUAUUGUAGACUACGGCAACCAAACACGCGCUAUAUGAGCACCUCGAGAGAGUGAGCACAAAUAAAUCCAGAAAAUAUGCAAGCAACUAUAUCUACAACUUGAAUCCGAGAAGGUUCCCUAACCAUUUAAGUUAUGCUUAGUUCACAUUUUUCUCUCUCUUUUGAAAGGCAAUGGAGUGCGUCUUUCUUUGCUUUGCCUUUUUGUUUUCUCUUUGCAGACAAGUAAUUCUUCUUUUGCCCCUUUAUUUGUUCUCUUCAAUGUUCGUCUCCUUCACUUACAUCUGUAUUCAAAAAGUAUCGGGUCGAUGAAAGUGUUACUCUGUUCCUGAUCUCAUACGGAGUCAUUGUGAACAGUAGAAUCCCAAACACAACAAGGGGGGAAUAUUUUUGCAAUUGACAUUGCUUAGUGUUUACCUACUUGUGGAUUUCCAUGAGUGAUGAAUGAACCGCACUCGUGCUAGCCUGGAUACAAUUAAAACAAAAUCAGUGCUUCAAAAUGCGGGAAAAUAUCUAGUGCUACCAAGCUUUAGGUGCUACCGGGAUACAACCUUCUGGGCCGUCAGAUUCUUAGAUCUGAUGGCUCUCAAUGACUCUGCAACAUUUGCAAAAAAGCUUACGAGCUGUCAAAAUUUGCGCAUAGGUCUAGCAGAUCUAACAGCUCCCGGAUGCCGUCCGAUCUAAGAAUCCGCUCCCUCAAAAUGCUUUUGGAAAUAACCUUUUUGGAGUAUUGGUUUUAUUUUUUAUACGGAGCUGGCCAAUUGUUUUUUCAUCACGAAAAUUUGCACGUGAGCAACACAUCCAACCAUGUUUGUUCUAAAAAACAUCAGAUAUUAUGAAUUCUUUUACUUUUUUGGAUUUUAUACUAUUUCGUGUAUAUGUGCUCGAGGAACAAAAUACGUUGUCUUUGGAAAUAAAGAGACAUGCCACACCGGACCCCUCUAUCAUUCAACGUAGCUUUCAUUCCUACAGGUCCAGUGUUUGAUGAUCUAACUGUUUCUUCAAGCUGACCCACUGCCAUUUAAUGUUUCAUGAUUCUUUUUAGAGGAAAAGAACAGCAGACCCCGGGAUAUUCAAUUAUGUUUCCGACCUCACAUGCGCCCGGGCGAACAGUAAUGUUUCAGAAUAGCAAAAAAAAAAAGAUGGUUUGCCCGGCAAAAUGUUUGAAUGUUCUGACAGCAUGCAGAAAUUCCAUAAAAAAUUGACACUCAUGGUGCUCUAAAUAAAGAAACAAAAUCAGUGCUUCCAAAAGGUUGAAAAAACAUGUUCAAGAUGCUCUGGACUUGCGGAAGGAUGAAUGAUAGAGGGGUCCCGUAUUCAGUCAUGUUUGGUCCAUUGCUCUGACACAUUGCUAAAUUCAGGCAUGUUUGGUUCGUAUCCACACAUUGCUAAAUUACCGUCACUUCCUUAGCUAUGAAGCAAAUAAAAUCGGUCCCGGUUUUAUUAUAUAUAUGCACAUAUUUUUGCCAAAUCUUGCCACAGUUGCGAUGAUCAGUAUGUUCACCACACUUUCUUUUUUGUCUUGCCACAACUUAGAAAAAUAAAUAUACAUAUAGCUAUGAACCAAACAUAUGUGAGCGCAAAACAUAUGUGAGCACAAGCUAAUCAAUCCCCAAAAUAUCAUCAAAUGUCCCGUUGCAAGAAUAGCUAAUCCGGCCUGGUCACACUCGUGGUAUUUCUGCAGUAAAUUGUCAAUGUAGGCCACUCAUUACAAAGCAUUACCCAGCAGACGGUGGACACAAACUAAGAAACAACAUGCUACAUGAUAUAAUGACAAAGUAGCCAUUUUAUUUAUGUACAGAUCACACAAGAACAACACACGGUUGGAAACUAUAUCAUAUACUCAUAUCAGGCAGUUCAUGUGAGCGCUCUAAGCAGGCACGGCAAAGCUUGGCUCGGUCCAGCUGGUUGGGUCGACCACGAUGCACGGAUCGUCCUUCUUGAACUCAGCCACCUGCACAGUUCAUCAGAGGGAGAAAAAGGAUUACACAUAGAAUUAGAAGCACAAGAAAGCAAGAUAUAGGAGGACAGGGAUAUGAUGCCAAACCAUUUCUCCACAGCUGGGGCAGUAAUGCUGUUUGUGCCAGAGGCAGUCCAUGGAGGGGCACAGGAAGCACACGCCCAGAAAGAACGGCAUCAUGCAAGCCACAACUGAUGCGACACUC
rnacentral:lncRNA from 1 species